GAUCUGUGUUGUGGGUCUUUUCUCAGGAGCUCUUUGAACCUUUCCCACGUCUCAAAUAGAGACUCCAAUUCUGACUGUACAAAAGACAGAUCUCAUUCCUAAGCUU